CCUACGGGAGGCAGCAGUGGGGAAUAUUGGGCAAUGGGCGCAAGCCUGACCCAGCAACGCCGCGUGAAGGAAGAAGGCUUUCGGGUUGUAAACUUCUUUUGUCAUGGAAGAGUAGAAGAUGGUACCUGACGAAUAAGCCACGGCUAAUUAAGUGCCAGCAGCCGGGGCAAUACGUAGGUGGCAAGCGUUGGCCGGAUUUACUGGGUGUAAAGGGCGUGUAGCCGGGUUGACAAGUCAGAUGUGAAAUCCUGCGGCUUAACCGCAGAACUGCAGUUGAAACUGUUGAUCUUGAGUACAGGGGAGGCAGACGGAAUUCCUGGUGUAGCGGUGAAAUGCGUAGAUAUUAGGAGGAACACCAGUGGCGAAGGCGGUCUGCUGGACAGCAACUGACGGUGAGGCGCGAAAGCGUGGGGAGCAAACAGGAGUAGAUACCCCUGUAGUC
rnacentral:rRNA from 1 species